CAACUCGCCUGCAUGAAGCUGGAAUUGCUAGUAAUCGCGGAUCAGCAAGCCGCGGUGAAUACGUUCCCGGGCCUUGUACACACCGCCCGUCACACCAUGAGAGUCGGGAACACCCGAAGUCCGUAGUCUAACCGCAAGGGGGCGCGGCCGAAGGUGGGUCCGGUAAUUGGGGUGAAGUCGUAACAAGGUACC
rnacentral:rRNA from 1 species